AAGGGAGACCUAAUUCCGGUAGGAGACGAAAAAAAAGUAGUCCCAACCAAGAAUCAAUCCCAAAAGGUCGGAACGAGGUAUGAGGCUUUCAAACUAGGUUCUGGGUUCAUAAAAGACCUGAAUCAGGAACAAGGGCUAUUAGCUCAGGUGGUUAGAGCGCACCCCUGAUAAGGGUGAGGUCCCUGGUUCGAGUCCAGGAUGGCCCACCUGCACAGGUGGCAAAAACAAGAGAAGCUCCGAAUCAGCACCUUAUCUUAUAUACAUAUAUAAGAGAGAAUGCUGGCUCUGAGUACAGAGUCCAGAGGAACCUUGAAAACUGCAUAGAGCUAGGUGAAAGAGCCAAAAAAGAAGACCGCAA
rnacentral:tRNA from 1 species